rnacentral:rRNA from 1 species
AGUGAACGCUGGCGGUAGGCCUAACACAUGCAAGUCGAGCGGCAGCACAGGAGAGCUUGCUCUCUGGGUGGCGAGUGGCGGACGGGUGAGGAUUACAUCGGAAUCUACUCUGUCGUGGGGGAUAACGUAGGGAAACUUACGCUAAUACCGCAUACGACCUACGGGUGAAAGCAGGGGACCUUCGGGCCUUGCGCGAUUGAAUGAGCCGAUGUCGGAUUAGCUAGUUGGCGGGGUAAAGGCCCACCAAGGGGACGAUCCGUAGCUGGUCUGAGAGGAUGAUCAGCCACACUGGAACUGAGACACGGUCCAGACUCCUACGGGAGGCAGCAGUGGGGAAUAUUGGACAAUGGGCGCAAGCCUGAUCCAGCCAUACCGCGUGGGUGAAGAAGGCCUUCGGGUUGUAAAGCCCUUUUGUUGGGAAAGAAAUCCAGCUGGCUAAUACCCGGUUGGGAUGACGGUACCCAAGGAAUAAGCACCGGCUAACUUCGUGCCAGCAGCCGCAGUAA